UACGUAGGGUGCAAGCGUUGUCCGGAAUUAUUGGGCGUAAAGAGCUCGUAGGCGGUUUGUUGCGUCGGCUGUGAAAUCCCGAGGCUCAACCUCGGGUCUGCAGUCGAUACGAGCAAACUAGAGUGUUGCAGGGGAGACUGGAAUUCCUGGUGUAGCGGUGAAAUGCGCAGAUAUCAGGAGGAACACCGGUGGCGAAGGCGGGUCUCUGGGCAUUACCUGACGCUGAGGAGCGAAAGUGUGGGGAGCGAACAGG
rnacentral:rRNA from 1 species